UACGAAGGGUGCAAGCGUUAAUCGGAAUUACUGGGCGUAAACCGCGCGUAGGUGGUUCAGUAAGUUGGAAGUGAAAUCCGCGGGCUCAACCUGGGAACUGCUUUCAAAACUGCUGAGCUAGAGUACGGUAGAGGGUGGUGGAAUUUCCUGUGUAGCGGUGAAAUGCGUAGAUAUAGGAAGGAACACCAGUGGCGAAGGCGACCACCUGGACUGAUACUGACACUGAGGUGCGAAAGCGUGGGGAGCAAACAGG
rnacentral:rRNA from 1 species